rnacentral:lncRNA from 12 species
CAAGCUGAGAUUGGGCUAUGGUCCCUUAUGAGGCAGUAGGAGUUUUCCAGGACUGAGCUGAAGCCUAUGAGCUGUUGUAAAUGAAAGAAGCAAUCUAAAUCACCAAGUCACACUGCCCUGGAAGCAUCUUCAUUAUGAAAUGAAAGACAGACAGAAUAAUAAGGAGGUGGGAAGCAGAAUUGCAAAUGACAAGGGGGUACCUGCAAGAAGAGAAAACCAGCCUGGAAAACACUGGAUUAUGAGCCAGCUCCUAUCUCUGCAAACAAACCUGAUUAGUCCUGGAGUUGUCUGGAGUAGAAAUCUACGCUUGCUGCUGACAUCUUCCUGCAGAGGAAAAUUACCUGAAGAAACCACCCCAGGAUCAUAUUUGUUUGAGUUAGCUUGUGUAAAUAAUGGGAAUUUAUGAUGAAACAUUGGAGUCAAUGUCUAGAAGUCAGUACAGGGGUAGGAGUAAAGGUCCUGCUUUGAGGAUGGGCUGGCUCAGCUGCAGAAGUGUGAGCCAGUCAUCAAAACAGUAUCUGUAAUUUAUGGACAAGAGAGUAAGAAGAAAUGUCCAAAUCCAUCACCAAGGACAAGGGAACUCUCUCAAUCCACAAAAGCUCAAAGAUGAUCCCUACUGACUUUAAAACUGCCCAUGCCAGUGCCAGCUGUCUAGAUCUAUAGCAGGGGUUUUGUGAGAUUCUGUUCAUCUGGAAAAGUUUCUGCUGUGUAGGAAGCAUUAAAGCUGAAUUUAC